rnacentral:rRNA from 1 species
GACGAACGCUGGCGGCGUGCUUAACACAUGCAAGUCGAACGGAAAGGCCCUGCUUUUGUGGGGUGCUCGAGUGGCGAACGGGUGAGUAACACGUGAGUAACCUGCCCUUGACUUUGGGAUAACUUCAGGAAACUGGGGCUAAUACCGGAUAGGAGCUCCUGCUGCAUGGUGGGGGUUGGAAAGUUUCGGCGGUUGGGGAUGGACUCGCGGCUUAUCAGCUUGUUGGUGGGGUAGUGGCUUACCAAGGCUUUGACGGGUAGCCGGCCUGAGAGGGUGACCGGCCACAAUGGGACUGAGAUACGGCCCAGACUCCUAUGGGAGGCAGCAGUGGGGAAUAUUGCACAAUGGGCGGAAGCCUGAUGCAGCAACGCCGCGUGCGGGAUGACGGCCUUCGGGUUGUAAACCGCUUUCGCCUGUGACGAAGCGUGAGUGACGGUAAUGGGUAAAGAAGCACCGGCUAACUACGUG